rnacentral:rRNA from 1 species
AGCAGGGCUCGCCGCCUGUUUAUCAAAACAUCGCCUCUUGAACACAUAUAAGAGGUCCAGCCUGCCCAGUGACUAAAUUCAACGGCCGCGGUAUCCUAACCGUGCGAAGGUAGCGUAAUCACUUGUUCUUUAAAUGAGGACUAGUAUGAAUGGCACCACGAGGGUUAUACUGUCUCCUUUUUCUAAUCAAUGAAACUGAUCUCCCCGUGAAGAAGCGGGGAUAAGACUAUCAGACGAGAAGACCCUAUGGAGCUUCAAACAACAUAGCAAUGGCUUAUUUACCUAUAUAAUUUCAGAAUACCUAUACUUAUCUUAGCCUUUUGACUAUUAGUUUUGGGUUGGGGUGACCACGGAGCAAAACCUAACCUCCAUGUUGGAUAGAUCUCCUCUUGAGCCAAAAGCCACAACUUUAAGCACCAAUAAACUGACAUAACUUGACCCAAUAUUUUGAGCAACGAACCAAGUUACCCUAGGGAUAACAGCGCAAUCCACUUCAAGAGCCCCUAUCGACAAGUGGGUUUACGACCUCGAUGUUGGAUCAGGGUAUCCCAGUGGUGCAGCCGCUACUAAAGGUUCGUUUGUUCAACGAUUAAAACCCUACGUGAUCUGAGUUCAGACCGGGCGAGCCCUGCU